rnacentral:rRNA from 1 species
AUUGAACGCUGGCGGCAGGCCUAACACAUGCAAGUCGAGCGGAUGAAGGGAGCUUGCUCCUGGAUUCAGCGGCGGACGGGUGAGUAAUGCCUAGGAAUCUGCCUGGUAGUGGGGGAUAACGUCCGGAAACGGGCGCUAAUACCGCAUACGUCCUGAGGGAGAAAGUGGGGGAUCUUCGGACCUCACGCUAUCAGAUGAGCCUAGGUCGGAUUAGCUAGUUGGUGGGGUAAAGGCCUACCAAGGCGACGAUCCGUAACUGGUCUGAGGGGAUGAUCAGUCACACUGGAACUGAGACACGGUCCCGACUCCUACGAGAGGCAGCAGUGGGGAAUAUUGGACAAUGGGCGAGAGCCUGAUCCAGCCAUGCCGCGUGUGUGAAGAAGGUCUUCGGAUUGUAAAGCACUUUAAGUUGGGAGGAAGGGCAGUAAGUUAAUACCUUGCUGUUUUGACGUUACCAACAGAAUAAGCACCGGCUAACUUCGUG